AAAGUUAUGUCUCGUUGGUGACCAGCGGAGGGUCAUUACCGAGUUUACAACUCCCAAACCCCUGUGAACAUACCUUAUGUUGCCUCGGCGGAUCAGCCCGCGCCCCGUAAAAAGGGACGGCCCGCCGCAGGAACCCUAAACUCUGUUUUUAGUGGAACUUCUGAGUAUAAAAAACAAAUAAAUCAAAACUUUCAACAACGGAUCUCUUGGUUCUGGCAUCGAUGAAGAACGCAGCAAAAUGCGAUAAGUAAUGUGAAUUGCAGAAUUCAGUGAAUCAUCGAAUCUUUGAACGCACAUUGCGCCCGCCAGUAUUCUGGCGGGCAUGCCUGUUCGAGCGUCAUUUCAACCCUCAAGCCCAGCUUGGUGUUGGGAGCUGCAGUCCUGCUGCACUCCCCAAAUACAUUGGCGGUCACGUCGAGCUUCCAUAGCGUAGUAAUUUACACAUCGUUACUGGUAAUCGUCGCGGCCACGCCGUUAAACCCCAACUUCUGAAUGUUGACCUCGGAUCAGGUAGGAAUACCCGCUGAACUUAAGCAUAUCAUA
rnacentral:rRNA from 1 species